rnacentral:rRNA from 1 species
UACAGAGGGGGCAAGCGUUGUUCGGAAUUACUGGGCGUAAAGGGCGCGUAGGCGGCCUUCUAAGUCGAACGUGAAAUCCCCGGGCUCAACCCGGGAACUGCGUCCGAUACUGGGAGGCUUGAAUCCGGGAGAGGGAUGUGGAAUUCCAGGUGUAGCGGUGAAAUGCGUAGAUAUCUGGAGGAACACCGGUGGCGAAGGCGGCAUCCUGGACCGGUAUUGACGCUGAGGAGCGAAAGCGUGGGGAGCAAACAGG